rnacentral:rRNA from 1 species
CCCUGAUCCAGCCAUGCCGCGUGUGUGAAGAAGGCCCUCGGGUUGUAAAGCACUUUCAGCGAGGAAGAACGCCUAGGGGUUAAUACCCGCUAGGAAAGACAUCACUCGCAGAAGAAGCACCGGCUAACUCCGUGCCAGCAGCCGCGGUAAUACGGAGGGUGCAAGCGUUAAUCGGAAUUACUGGGCGUAAAGCGCGCGUAGGUGGCUUGAUAAGCCGGUUGUGAAAGCCCCGGGCUCAACCUGGGAACGGCAUCCGGAACUGUCAAGCUAGAGUGCAGGAGAGGAAGGUAGAAUUCCCGGUGUAGCGGUGAAAUGCGUAGAGAUCGGGAGGAAUACCAGUGGCGAAGGCGGCCUUCUGGACUGACACUGACACUGAGGUGCGAAAGCGUGGGUAGCAAACAGGAUUAGAUACCCUGGUAGUCCACGCCGUAAACGAUGUCGACCAGCCGUUGGGUGCCUAGCGCACUUUGUGGCGAAGUUAACGCGAUAAGUCGACCGCCUGGGGAGUACGGCCGCAAGGUUAAAACUCAAAUGAAUUGACGGGGGCCCGCACAAGCGGUGGAGCAUGUGGUUUAAUUCGAUGCAACGCGAAGAACCUUACCUACUCUUGACAUCCUGCGAAUUUGGUAGAGAUACCUUAGUGCCUUCGGGAACGCAGAGACAGGUGCUGCAUGGCUGUCGUCAGCUCGUGUUGUGAAAUGUUGGGUUAAGUCCCGUAACGAGCGCAACCCUUGUCCUUAUUUGCCAGCGCGUAAUGGCGGGAACUCUAAGGAGACUGCCGGUGACAAACCGGAGGAAGGUGGGGACGACGUCAAGUCAUCAUGGCCCUUACGAGUAGGGCUACACACGUGCUACAAUGGUCGGUACAAAGGGUUGCCAACUCGCGAGAGUGAGCCAAUCCCGAAAAGCCGAUCUCAGUCCGGAUCGGAGUCUGCAACUCGACUCCGUGAAGUCGGAA